CCCUUCCCCCUCUAAUUUUGGGAUGAUUAUUUGGAUUGCUUUGGGGAUCCUGAUACUAUUGGAAAGAUAGGUACAGAUAUUGAAGAUUUUAAAUGCUCUUGGUUAGUUGCGAAAGCUUUGAAGCUUAGCAAUUAGCAACAAAAGAAAGUUCCAUACGACAACUAUGGGAGUGCAGAUCCAGAAAAUGUUGCUAAAGUAAAGGCCCUGUAUAACGAGCUUAAUCUUAAGACUUGUUGUAAAAGCAUAUGUAUUUAUGACUUCCAAUUUUGGCCUUAAAUUAAGUGUAUGAUAAUGUUCCUGUUACUGAAAAUUUAUGGCUAUUUAACUUUGUUUCAAAUAUAUUUUUUAAUUUAUCCAG